GUUAGGAAUAUUGGACAAUGGGCGCAAGCCUGAUCCAGCAAUGCCGCGUGUGUGAAGAAGGUCUUCGGAUCGUAAAGCACUUUCGACGGGGACGAUGAUGACGGUACCCGUAGAAGAAGCCCCGGCUAACUUCGUGCCAGCAGCCGCGGUAAUACGAAGGGGGCUAGCGUUGCUCGGAAUUACUGGGCGUAAAGGGCGCGUAGGCGGCUCUGUGAGUCAGGCGUGAAAUUCCUGGGCUUAACCUGGGGACUGCGCUUGAUACUGCAGGGCUUGAGGCCGAGAGAGGGUGGUGGAAUUCCCAGUGUAGAGGUGAAAUUCGUAGAUAUUGGGAAGAACACCGGUGGCGAAGGCGACCACCUGGCUCGGUACUGACGCUGAGGCGCGACAGCGUGGGGAGCAAACAGGAUUAGAUACCCGGGUAGUCC
rnacentral:rRNA from 1 species